rnacentral:rRNA from 1 species
AGCGAACGCUGGCGGCAGGCCUAACACAUGCAAGUCGAACGAACCCUUCGGGGUUAGUGGCGGACGGGUGAGUAACACGUGGGAACGUGCCCUUUGGUUCGGAACAACUCAGGGAAACUUGAGCUAAUACCGAAUGUGCCCUUCGGGGGAAAGAUUUAUCGCCAUUGGAGCGGCCCGCGUCUGAUUAGCUUGUUGGUGAGGUAAAGGCUCACCAAGGCUACGAUCAGUAGCUGGUCUGAGAGGAUGAUCAGCCACAUUGGGACUGAGACACGGCCCAAACUCCUACGGGAGGCAGCAGUGGGGAAUCUUGCGCAAUGGGCGAAAGCCUGACGCAGCCAUGCCGCGUGAAUGAUGAAGGUCUUAGGAUUGUAAAAUUCUUUCACCGGGGACGAUAAUGACGGUACCCGGAGAAGAAGCCCCGGCUAACUUCGCGCCAGCCGCCGCCGUAACAC